UAUGUGAUCGUCUCUCGCAUAUCAAUAAGCGGAGGAAAAGAAACUAACAAGGAUUCCCCUAGUAACGGCGAGUGAAGCGGGAAGAGCUCAAAUUUGAAAUCUUAAAGGGUUUCCCUUUACGAAUUGUAGUUUAAAGAAGUGUUUUCUGUUGAGGUUUUGGUAAAAGUUCUUUGGAAUAGGACAUCAUAGAGGGUGAGAAUCCCGUAUUUGACCUUUACUUUCAACUUUGUGAUACACUUUCAAGGAGUCGGAUUGUUUGGGAAUGCAGUCCAAAAUGGGUGGUAAAUUUCAUCUAAAGCUGAAAUAUUGGCGAGAGACCGAUAGCGAACAAGUACCGUGAGGGAAAGAUGAAAAGAACUUUGAAAAGAGAGUUAAACAGUACGUGAAAUUGUCAAAAGGGAAGCGUUUGACACCAGUGUUGUUUUUCUGAAAAUCAAUUAAAGAACUGUUUAUGCUAAGUUGUUUAGACUUUAUCAGCUAACUGUUUAGUUUUGAGCUUUUCUUUAAUGCACUUUUCAGUUAACAAGUCAACAUCAAUUUCUUUUGCUGUAAAAAAGCUUGAGGAAGGUGGCUUGAGAUUCGUCUUAAGUGUUUAUAGCCUCUUGCCUAUGCAGUCGGAGAGAUUGAGGUCUGCAGCGUAGAUCCUUCGGGGCUAAAUGCAUUUGUGCUAAGUUAUAGCAUUUUAUAGACAACUUGUUGACUAUGAUUUGUCUUGUAGCUUACUCGCUUAUGUUAUUUUACCUACGCUUAGGAUGUUGAUCUACAGAGCGAGAGU
rnacentral:rRNA from 1 species